UUCGUAUUAAUUAAGAAAAUAUAAAGAAGUUAAUAAAAAGGAUUUAGUAUUAUUUACAAGAAUAAUAAGAAUAUAAUAAUAUUAAUACGAGUCGGUUGUGUUAAUUUCGGAUUUAUAAAGGCUAAACCGAGUUCACCCGAUCUAGAGUUACCACUUUUAGAAGGCUAUAAAAAGGAAAAGAAGAGGAGAAAAUUUUCAGAAACCCUAAGUUUCCCUUUCUCCUCUCAGCCGUCAUUCCUUCUUCUCCCUCAAACCCUUCUCCUCUCUCGCUGGUCUUCUCUCUCGCGGGUCUCCUCUCUCUCUCUUGCUGACCUCUUUCGUUCUCCAUCUCUCCUUUACCAAGAGGCUCGUCGAGAGUCGUGAGGGUGCUGGGCAAACCUUCGGCGAGGCUCGAGAGGGUCAUUGCGCGAAGCUCGGGUGCCAGCGAGUGCGCGAGGUCGAGCGAGCGAUUUUGUGAGAUUGUGCGAAGGGAGUGUGAAGGGCGGACGCUGCGAGGUUCGAGUGCUGAGCGAGACGAGCAAAGGAGCGAGCAGGAGGGGCGUUGUGCGACGAAGCUCGAAGUGCGAGUCGAGUGGUUCGAGUGUUGAGCGAGGGACGACGAAGGCUUGUGCGAGGCUGCUGCUGUGCGAGCUGUGCGACGAAGCUCGAAGCGUGCGUUGCUGCUGCUGUGCGAGUGGUGCGACGAAGUUGUUGCACCGUGGCCGGAAAUCGGUCGCCGGAACUUGAUUUCCGGCGAGCUUAACGGUCCCAAUUUCAUAAGCGGAACGUUCGAUUAAGACAGCGAAAAUUCUCCGUUACAAGACUAGGUGUGCUGGUGUUGCUGCAUAUUCUCGAGCAUACGGGGACUAGGCUUUGGUAUUUACAUUUAAAGCAUUUCCAAAUAAGUAUUAUUGGUUUUUCUAAGACUUAUAUAAAUGGUUUGUGGUUUGAAUGAAAGGGGUCAUUGAUGAUUCCCGAGUUGUAUUUAUAUUUUAAUUCCGCUGCAUUUUAGUUUUCAAGUUAAUGUUUUAAGUUAUAGUUAACUCUUAUUAUGCC